GUAGGUGAACCUGCGGAAGGAUCAUUGUCGAUGCCUGCCCAACAGAUAGACCCGUGAACACGUCGCCUGUCCCCUUCGUAGGGUCGGUCCGCGUAUCGUCGUGGCAUCCGACCCGACAACACAACMAUCGGCGCGGUYGGCGCCAAGGAACUCACAACGGAAUGGGCGUGCCAUCACCGUGCCCUCGGUGCGGUGUGCGUCGUCUUGCAUCCGAAUCUCACGAACGACUCUCGGCAACGGAUAUCUCGGCUCUCGCAUCGAUGAAGAACGUAGCGAAAUGCGAUACUUGGUGUGAAUUGCAGAAUCCCGUGAACCAUCGAGUCUUUGAACGCAAGUUGCGCCCCAGGCCUUCGGGCCGAGGGCACGCCUGCCUGGGCGUCACGUAUCGUGUCGCCCGCCCUCCAAAGCCCCUCUGUGGGGGCGGAGUGCGGGUCGGAGAUUGGCCCCCCGUGCCGCUUUCUCGAGGUGCGGUCGGCCCAAAGGCAAUUCCCCCUGCGUGGCAUGCGUCACACGACGAGUGGUGGUCGAAGCCACUGUGCCAUUCGGUUCGGACGUCGUGUGCGGUUUUGGCUCCGGCAGGGGUCACGGUAACCCCGAUCACAUGCCGUGUCCAGCGACGGCAUCUCGACKGCGACCCCAGGUCAGGCGGGGCUACCCGCUGAG
rnacentral:rRNA from 1 species